UUUUUUUGUCUUAUUAAUGUCAAGAGAGAGAGAGAUAAAGGUAUGGAAGCUUAUUUCCACUACGUAUGAGAAAAUGUUAUGCAGAAUGAUCUCACAAUUACCUUCUUUUUAUCUCACAUCCUGUUAACACACUCUCCAGGAGUGGCCCAGCCCCGCUGAAAAGAAUACUUCACUUAGGUUAUAUUGCCUCGCAACACAUUGCUAGGUUUUUGUUGUGGAUUGAUUAUGGGAAACGGAAGCACAGAGUCACAACUGUUAAAUAUUAACUCGCAGGUGAAACGUACAGUCGCAAUUGUGUGAAAAUAACGAGAUUUUUAGAGCUGCUAUAACAUAAAACGGGAACCAACUUGAUUCUUGGAUGUUCCACAACAUUCAACAUAUUAAUAAAUGAGUAAAAAUCACAUAUUCUUUAAUGAAUUAAUAUCCCACUUCAUCUCAGGCCACAUCACACCACCCCACCAUUGAAUACUUUCCUAUAACAUGCUCCCAAAGUGCUUUAUUCCUUAAACAAAACCAUAUGUCCUUCUUCUAAUGAACUCACUCAAACAUUUUAAAAAGAAGUCAAACAUCAGAUAUCCACGAAGACUGUGGAAGCAAAUUGUAGUAGUAUCUGUGGUACCUGCUCCUCUUUCAAUGUUCAUAAGGUGUAGUCUGCUCUAGUUUUAGCUGUUCAUGUAUUGUUCUUGUUUAUUGAUAUGAUGUUUGGUUAUGCUAACUGUACCCCCCCCCCCCUCUAGUUGACUUAAUUUAACCAAUGUUACUUCAUUAAUUUUGUGACUUACAUACUGAUAUCUUUCUAGUUCUAGGUUCAAGUUUGCAGUAACUGUCUAAAAUAUGAUUUAGUAUAACCUAAUUAUGACAUGAAAUCCAUGUAAUUGCUUCAGAAUUGAAGUAUAAACACUGAAAUGCUUAUUUUACCAGCCUAAUGGCUUCACCUAACUGCAAAAUCUAUCACUGGCAAACAUGGCUGCGCUUCCACAGCACAGAACAGUGUAAACUUUAAAAAAAAAUUUUUUGUGACUAACCUCAUUAACACACCAUUCAUUUGAAAUUGAAGGUAACAUUUUAUUUAAAAAAAUAAUAAUAAUGUAACAUUACAGUUUCUGCAUAAACCGUGAUCAAAGUUGAACUUCAAACUUCUGCAGUGUUCAGAAAUAACUAGCAGUUAAGCCUUACGUACCAGAUGAGGUAGACGCUUCCCCUCUUCAGGAAAAUAAUUAAGCAGAAAUAUUUAACAUUAGCAAUGGAGUGUGGUUAAUUUUCUUAGUUAAAGCAGUUUUGUAUAUGAAAGUUCUACAAAAAUAAAGACUUUGUUAUUUAAAAAAGUAGUAUAUAUAUAUAUAUAUAUAUAUAUAUAUAUAUAUAUAUAUAUAAAAUACAUAUUUAAAUGGAUAUAAAAAAAAAGUUUUCAAUUUAAACAAAAGGGAUGUGGCUGUACACUACUAGUCAAACGUUUUGGAAAAACUAGGGCUUCUUAUGAUUACAUUACAUCCAUAUCACAGCACUGUUGAACUCUUGAUUCUGACUGGGUCAAGUUCUCCGACACAGGAAUGUCGGAAAAAUGAAGGACAUUGUACUUUGUCAGUAACAUGACACGUUUCAUUGUCUUAUUAACUUCAAGAGAGAGGACAAAAAGAGAUCCUGGUGAGAGAACUGGUUAUAGCUGUUACAAUUUAAACGAUACCAGGAACAAGCUAGUUGCAUGGAUGUUUCACCCCAUUAAAUGCAACUAUAAAUGGAUAAAAAUGAUGUGGAAAUUCACUAACAAAAAUAUACAUGAUUUGGAUUACAAAAAUAUGCAUUUUCGAAACUUUGACGGUUAAAGUAAAUGGUUCUGUUACGAUAGCCGUGAAAACCGUGCUCCAUAGUUAGGGAUAAAAACAACUUACAUUUUGUAAUAAGCGAAAAACCCCAAAACAAAACAAAACAAGCACCCUAACAUUUUGAAGUGAAAUAAAUAAAUAAAUAAAUAAAUCAAUCACAGAUGGUCUCUCUUUCUCUUCUUUUUGAGUUUUGCACUGUCGGUCCAUGAACACCAAUUUGACUUGCCAGAGACAGCGACUUUUUCAGCUCCGAGUGUGGCAUCUAGAUCAUUAUCUGGGUCUCUUACUUGCUUCUUUUUCUUAAUAUGUACUAAUAAUGCACCCCCUGAGGAUGAAAUACUGUCCUUUUUAGCAUGGCAUGUGUCUAAAGCAUCUCUUGAUUCUUCUGCAGCAAAUAGCUUAGGUACAACAUCUAAAAUCUGAUUCCCACCUCUAUCAACUGUGUCCUUUCUAUUCUUUUUCUUCUUCUCCUUCUCAAUUAUUGCUUCUGAAGGUUCUGAUGGAGAACCACUCUCCUGCCACAAUUCAUGUUCAACAAUCUCAGGAUACACUUCUAUGUCUGUUUCUACCCAUUGCUGCUUCUUCUUCUUCUUCUUCUUUUUCCUUCCAUUAGGCUGUAUGGUAUCCUCUGACUGCAGUACUUGUUGGCUACUUUCAGAACGGUCAUCUUUGGUCCUCUCACAUUUGUUUGUCUCAUUGGUGUCAUUUUGUCCACUACUUGAAGCUUCUUUCACUACUCUUGUCUGUUUAGUAUUUUGCCAAUGGGAGUCAUCCAGAUGCAACAAGCCGUGAGAAACCGACCACGAUCCAUCAUUUUCCAACUCUUUCCUUUUCCUCUUCUUUUUCUUCUUCUUCACUGGUUCUGAUCCACCAACACCUUCCUCCUCACCAAUCCCUCCAGUCUCACUUCUGGUGCUUGGGGUAUUGGAUGUUGUCAUCUCUAUGAGAUCAAGUCUGAGAGACACGGAUGCAUUUUUAGACGUCUCCUCUUCUUGAUGCGUUUUAAUUCUGCCCUUUUUCUUCUUUGGCUUUCUCACCAGAACCACCUCAGCUGCUUGCUGCUCAGAAUCUUGAGUAUUUGGAGCCUCCACUUGUUCUGUCGUCUCUACCAACAAUGCCUCAACGUCCAUAUUUUCUUCCCUGACCACCUUUUGCCGUUUCCUUUUUUUCCUCUUCUUCCUUUGAGUUAUAGAGUGAUCUGUCAAAUCUAUGCUAUUCACUGGUUGGAUUUCUAUGCCUGCUGGUAUUUCGGGGAUUUUCUCCAACGGUUCUCCAAUAUUCUUACUGGCCGUAGCCAUCUCUCCUACUUGUCCUUCUCCAACAUCAUCUAUAAACAUUUUCUUCUUUUUCUUGACAGUUUUGAUACCAUGGCUUGAAUAAGAUUCUUCACUACACUGCCAAGCCACGAUCUCAGUUAUCACAGGACUUGAAUCCUGUUUCGUCUUCGCCCUUUUCUUUUUCUUUUUCCUUUGUGGUUCAAGACAAUCAGACUGAACAAAAUUAGAAAGAUCAGUUCUGGUCAGCUGCUCAGUUUCCUCAGCUAUAGACACCAAAGAAGCUGAACCUUGACAGGGGAUCUGGAUAGCCUCCUCUACACCAAUCCAUUCAUCUUCCUGAGGCACUGGUUGACCAUGUUUGUCUUUUUUUCUCUUUUUCUUUGGUUUAAUUCCAUUCACUGAAGCACAAACCACUGAAGAGUCCUGAACUGAUAGACCAGAGUCUGCAGCAACACUGAUGUCUGGCAAGGUGUCAACUGGUUCCUCCAACAACCAAUCAUUUGUGCCCUUUUUUCUCUUUGGUUUACUUUCACUAACUGAAGCACAAACCACUGAAGAGUCCUGAACUAAUAGACCUGAGUCUGCAGCAAUACUGAUGUCUGGCAAGGUAUAAACUGUUUCCUCCAACAACCGAUCAUUUUUGACCUUUCUUCUUUUUUUACGCUUGACGUCAUCAAAGUGAAGUGCAGAAUAUUCAUUCUGACCCAAAUCAGCUUGUCUUGGUGCCAGGUUAUCUGAGAUCUCAGGGUCUUUAGUCUUUUUAUUUUUCUUCCUCUUCAGAAAUUUCAAUCCACCAAAAUUGAACAGUGGGGUCUCGGUCUUCUCUUCCUGUCUGACCAUGAGGAUAUCCUUACUACAACUUGAGUAAUCAUUUCCUAUGGAUCCUGAUUCGUAAUCCUCUAAUGGCAGUGAUGAAUGAUGGUGUGGAUCUUGCAUAUCCAAUGUCGUCUUGUCCUUUUCCUUUCUUACCUGGCAUAUAUCUCCAGCUGUUGGUGAGACUAUUUCACUCGGGUGAGUCCUCAGAGAUUUGGAAUAUUUAAGAAAGUCACCCUCCAUAUCUUCCAAGAUUAAUGAACCCUUUUUCUUUAUUAUCAAACCUAUGUCAUCAUGUGGUACUACAAUGCUUUCUAAGACUUCCUUAUCAUUUUCAACACUAGUCUCUUUUAAAGGACUUGAUUGAUUAUUUGGUUCUUGAAAAAGAUCCUGUGAGCUGAUGAAACCUCCACUAACACUACCAAAGUCUUCGUUUUCCAGUGGCUCGUGAUGUACGCUUUGAUGGAUAUCCUGGACUUGUACUUGGUGUUCACAGGAUGAGAUGUUCUCAAAGCAGAGUGCAUCUUCCUUUCCUUCUUUGUCCGUAGGGUUGUCCUGCAAAAUCUGGGUUUCGUUUCCAAGUGGCUCAUGAUGUACGCCUUGAUGGAUAUCCUGGACUUGUACUUGGUGUUCACAGGAUGAGAUGUUCUCCAAGCAGGGUGCAUCUUCCUUUCCUUCUUUGUCCGUAGGAUUGUCCUGCAAAAUCUGGGUUUCGUUUCCAAGUGGCUCAUGAUGUACGCCUUGAUGGAUAUCCUGGACUUGUACUUGGUGUUCACAGGAUGAGAUGUUCUCCAAGCAGGGUGCAUCUUCCCUUCCUUCUCUGUCCAUAGGGUUGUCCUGCAAAAUCUGGGUUUCGUCUUCAUCCUGGUCUACCAAAUUUGGCCGCUGCGUCUCCUCGUCUGACGUUUCAUCAAUUGGUUCCAUCCAGUUCCAUUCGGCAGAUUUCCUGCUUUUCUCACCGUUCUCCGUGGACCGAGACACUUCUAUAUUAAGUGAGCUGCUCUCAUUAUAUACAUCUGCAUCAUCUUGAGGCGCCAUCAGGUCUUCAGCAACUUUCCUGGUUUGAGAACACGUCUCCUGCUCCUCUUGACAUUUGUUGCUUUUCUUAGUGCACGUUUCUGGAGCCUGUCUCGUUUUCCAUUUCAGGGAUGGUAGCCAUGUUUGUUGGUUUCUUUUAUGUGUGUUCUCAAUAAAGCAAUCUUUAUCCUAAAACAAAAUCAGACAUAUUGAUUAACAAUAAUAAAAUGUCUGUUUGAUGGCUUGAGAGAAAACUAAAGAAUAACUAGAAAAGAAUGAAACAAUCAAUCAUGACGUUUCUGAAAAGUCAAAUGCUAAAACGACGAUGCAGAAUUACAAAUUUUGACUUCAAAACGGCAUUCAAAUGGAUCCUUGUUACUUGACGAACCUGCCACCCCUGAAGUCACAGAUACAAUGCAGUAAACAGUUUUUUUUUUAAACUUUCAGUCCCUCAAAGAAACCUUGAAAUGGUUCUAAAUGGCAGACAUUUUCACUGUUAAUCUGUUGCUGCUCAAAAAAGUGUUGCACUUACCAUUUAAGUUAUUUGUGAAGUGAUACAUUUGACAAAUUUUUGAACUUUUUCAGUCGAAAAAUUUGGUGUAUCCCUAAAUCACUAAUGCUUAAACUAAUGAGCAUUUGGUAGGAAACGGGGUGGGGCCAGCAAGGGUGUCAGUUAAAACUGCAACUGUCAGUAAUUCCAAAUUCAUAUGUUGAUUGGCUAAUUUGUGGUUUUAUUAGAUUUAUUUGCUCAUUUGCUGUUUUAUUAUUUUUUAAUUAUUAUUCAGGGUUUUUGUCCUAUUCAGUUUUUUGUUGCAUGGCAAAAAGUGAAAACAUCACAACUGUCAAAAUAUAACUGCAAAAUAUACCACUUUUUUAACGUCCUCAUCAUCAUCAUCAUCUUCUGUUUGCAUACUGCUUUCCUUCCGUCUGUAAAUUAAAUCCGAAAAAAGUCAAUAAAAGGACAGACGAAUAAAAUAGAUUAAUAUUGUGUAUUAAUAUGUUCACUCACCUCUUGACUGAAAUGAAAACAGCAAGAGUUUUCUGACAUGGAUUCAAUGUUUAUAACAUUCCUACCACAGCACUACUGUACUCGCAAUUCAGUUUUUUUGCAAGGUGUUGAUUCAUUUCAGCAGCUCCGAUUGUCUUUUCGGCUGCAAUUCCGACGACAGGUUUAUUUUAAUUUGCUCGUUCUAAUACGUUAUGAUAACAAAUGACACCAGGACUUGUAUGCUCGGACGCUCCACAUAAUUGUAACUGUUGAUAAAAUUUCUGUUAGAUGUCGAUUCAUUCAUUUAUUUAUGGAAGGAGUCACCGGUGGCAGCACUCUGUUUUCCACCACAGGAAAGUCUUCAGGACAGAAAAGAUCCUAGUUCCUCAGGAACAUGACAAAAUGAUCAACUUCAAGAAAGGUUGGUGAGGGGACUCAUGGACCUUCAAGAAUGUCAACCCUAACUAUAACUGGUUAAUAAGUACAUAAUUUAUUAGUAUACUGAGUAUAAUGUAAUCUUCGUUAUAGGAAAAUGAUCAACUUCACGGUCCUAACAGUAAGUCCUGCUUACUAAGGCUGCUCCACACCACUACAUUGUAGAUCUUUUUCCUCCAACAGCAUGGCCAAUGUCAAAUUACACGCUUCAACAGAAACAAAUAUAAAACCUACACAAUACUGUAUUCAUGUUUUGUAUAAUACAAUGGUAAACUCACUCAGAAAGCAAUAAAGAUGGACUCAGCUCUCCUCUUCUUUUGUCUCCAUGACCUUUGCUCAGCUUCAAUAUGCAUUUAAAGAACCCACCAACCUCUGAAUUCUGAUAGACGGAAAUAAAAUUAUAAAACGAUUACCUUCACCUUAUAUAGCUGGAACGAAAUGUAAUUUAUCUAAAAUUGAAGAAGAAGAAAAAAAGUUUCCAGACAUUUCCAUUUUCUGAGAAUGCACUUAAAUUGUUGCCAUUCCUUUAACAUUCGGCUGAUAGAUACAGUGCACUCCAUUAAUAUUGGCACCCUUGGUAUAUAUGAGCAAAGACGGCUGUGGUUGUGAUCUUUUGUUAAAAAAAAAAAAAAAAAAAAUUUCACAUAAAAAUACUCUGCUCUCAUGGAUAUCAAACAAUUGCACAAAAUAAGUUUAUCAAAAAAAUAACU
ensembl:lncRNA